CCUACGGGAGGCAGCAGUGGGGAAUUUUGGACAAUGGGCGCAAGCCUGAUCCAGCAAUGCCGCGUGAGUGAAGAAGGCCUUCGGGUUGUAAAGCUCUUUUGUCAGGGAAGAAACGGUGGGGGCUAAUAUCCUCCACUAAUGACGGUACCUGAAGAAUAAGCACCGGCUAACUACGUGCCAGCAGCCGCGGUAAUACGUAGGGUGCAAGCGUUAAUCGGAAUUACUGGGCGUAAAGCGUGCGCAGGCGGUUUUGUAAGUCUGUCGUGAAAGCCCCGGGCUCAACCUGGGAAUUGCGAUGGAGACUGCAAGGCUUGAAUCUGGCAGAGGGGGGUAGAAUUCCACGUGUAGCAGUGAAAUGCGUAGAGAUGUGGAGGAACACCGAUGGCGAAGGCAGCCCCCUGGGUCAAGAUUGACGCUCAUGCACGAAAGCGUGGGGAGCAAACAGGAUUAGAUACCCUGGUAGUCCACGCCCUAAACGAUGUCUACUAGUUGUCGGGUUUUAAUUAACUUGGUAACGCAGCUAACGCGUGAAGUAGACCGCCUGGGGAGUACGGUCGCAAGAUUAAAACUCAAAGGAAUUGACGG
rnacentral:rRNA from 1 species